GGUCCCAAGGGUUGGGCUGUUCGCCCAUUAAAGUGGUACGCGAGCGUGGUGCAGUACGUCGUGACACAGUUCGAUCACUAUCCGUUGCAGGAGUAGGAAAUUUGCGCAGACCUGUCCUUAGUACGAGAGGACCGGGAUGGACGUAACUCUGGUGUAACAGUUGUCCGGUCAAGCGGAUGGAAGGGUAGCAAUGUAAGGAAUGGAUAAGAGCUGAAUGAAUAUAAGCGCGAAGUCAACUUCAAGAUAAGAUUUGCCUCUGCAAGGGUAAGUCCCCAGAAAUACUAUCUGGUUAAUAGGUCGAAGGUGGAAGUGCAGCAAUGUAUUUAGCUUAUCGAUACUAAUAGGUCGAGGACUUGACCAAU
rnacentral:rRNA from 1 species